UUGAGUUUGAAUCCUGGAUCAGAGCGAACGCUGGCGGCAUGCUUAACACAUCCAGUUCACGGUACUUUUGGAUUAGUGGUGACGGGUGGUUCGCGUACGCGUCUAUGGGUGGGGAAACKCCGGGGAAACUGGAGCUAAUACUGUGAUACCUGAGGGUCAAAGGCGCAAGUCGCCUGUGGCGAACCUGCGUUCGAUUAGCUAGUUGGKGGGGUAAAGGCCUACCAAGGCGAUGAUCGAUAAUGGUUUGAGAGGAUGAUCAGCCACACUGGGGAAGACACGGCCCAGACUCCUACGGGAGGCAGCAGUGGGGAAUAUUGGACAAUGGGCGCAAGCCUGAUCCAGCAAUGCCGCGUGUGUGAAGAAGGUCUUCGGAUUGUAAAGCACUUUCGACGGGGACGAUGAUGACGGUACCCGUAGAAGAAGCCAAGGCUAACUUCGUGCCAGCAGCCCCGGUAAUACGAAGGGGGCUAGCGUUGCUCGGAAUGACUGGGCGUAAAGGGCGCGUAGGCGGUUGAUGAAGUCAGAUGUGAAAUCCCCGGGCUUAACCUGGGAACUGCAUUUGAGACGCAUUGACUAGAGUUCGAGAGAGGGUUGUGGAAUUCCCAGUGUAGAGGUGAAAUUCGUAGAUAUUGGGAAGAACACCGGUGGCGAAGGCGGCAACCUGGCUCGAUACUGACGCUGAGGGCGCGAAAGCGUGGGGAGCAAACAGGAUUAGAUACCCUGGUAGUCCACGCUGUAAACGAUGUGUGCUGGAUGUUGGGGUAACUUAGUUACAGUGUCGAAG
rnacentral:rRNA from 1 species